UGAUCUCCUGGUUGCCAAUUUCUGGUUUGAAGCUGAUUGAACCGGCUAGCUUCCAAAAUGAGGCAAGUGCAGAACUGGUUUGGACGGUUUUGGAGAUUGGAUCAUAACUUCAUAAUUAUGUGUCCAUUUCUCCUGAUCUUGGGCUUUCUGGAAAUAUAAUAAAAUUCUCUUGACUCCUAUGAUGGGCUUUGCUUCAGGCCGAUUCUUCAUUGGGCUUGAAUCUUCUUCUAAAGUCGGGUACUCGCAGAUGGACGGGCUGAGAAACCUCUGACUUGUAAAAUUCAUAACUUCCUGCUCAUUGAAUACUUUGGCCCGAUUCCAAUUGUUAUGGACUCCUUCUUGAAUUUAGAAUCCAUAAAAAGUAGCCUCGUCAUUUAAACCCUCCUGAUUUGUAAGAUAUGGCGUUUUUAAUGCACGUAUGUGCUGGCUGGCGCCUUGACUGGUUGAGUAGGGCUUUCGGUUGACCUCUGGUUCAGUUGCUGAUCUGAUGGCCGCAU
rnacentral:lncRNA from 1 species